rnacentral:lncRNA from 1 species
AUUCGUUCACACUGUACCUUUUCAACUAAUGGAUUAGUGGAUAGUGUCGCCUUAGAGGCGUAUUUGCGCAUAUAUUUCCAAUGAGAUGCAGAAUCCAAAAUAGAGUUUUUCGAGUAAAUUUACGAACCAUUUUGUUGAGGGCGACUUUUUUCAAAUCUGAAAGAGUCGGAUGCAAUGAGGUUCUAAUUGGGCCAUUUUUUUCCAUAAUUUUGUUUUAAUUUCAGAUUUUCAUUUAUAUCUAUUUAAAGUUUGAUUUGAUUUUGUUAUACUUAUAUUGAUAGGCAAUACAGGGUCCUCCACGUUUACAUGUAAAUAAUUGAGAGUAAAACUAAUUCAUAUUUCAGGCGAGCCCCUUAUUUUACCACACAUCGUUAUAAACGGACAUUAAACUAUGUCAUUGCUCCAAGUUCAACCCUGUUCUUCAUUUUGUUUAAUGCGGGUUUGGAUUUUCAUUGUUUGUUAUGAAAAUUAAAUGAUUGAUUGUUGUUUGAAACCAGCGGCUAAUAUUUCAUAUUAAAAAAGAAAUUUUGGUAUUUUUUUUUUGCAAUAAGACAUAUAUUCAGAGGCCAACAUCCUAAAAUGUUAAUACUUAUAGGUAUCCGUCAUCCAUAUUUAAAAAGAAUGAAGAGAAGUUUUACAAUAAUUAUUAUGCAUCAAUUUUAAGUACAUGAAUAUCGGUUGAUAAGUGAAAGAGAGCGUUUUCAAUAGGAUAUUAAGUUCACAGUCCAUCAGAAAAUUAGAGGCUAUAAAAAUAAACAAAUAUUUAGUUUUCAUUUAAAUCUCACAAGCAUCAUCUAUACAUUUCACGGGGGUUAUAUAUAAAGUUCCAUGUAAAUUCAAUUUCAC